rnacentral:rRNA from 1 species
GACAGAGGGUGCAAACGUUGUUCGGAAUUACUGGGCGUAAAGCGCGUGUAGGCUGCUUCAUAAGUCGGGUGUGAAAGCCCUGGGCUCAACCUAGGAAGUGCACUCGAAACUGCGAAGCUUGAGUCCUGGAGAGGAAGGCGGAAUUCUCGGUGUAGAGGUGAAAUUCGUAGAUAUCGGGAGGAACACCGGUGGCGAAGGCGGCCUUCUGGACAGUGACUGACGCUGAGACGCGAAAGCGUGGGGAGCAAACAGG